rnacentral:rRNA from 1 species
GCAAGUCGAGGGGUAACGAUGGUGCUUGCACCAGGCGACGACCGGCGCACGGGUGAGUAACGCGUAUGCAACCUGCCCUUAACUGGGGAAUAGCCCGAAGAAAUUCGGAUUAAUGCUCCAUAAUAUAUUGGUAUUGCAUAAUAUUGAUAUUAAAGCUCCGGCGGUUAAGGAUGGGCAUGCGUGACAUUAGGUUGUUGGUGAGGUAACGGCUCACCAAGCCUACGAUGUCUAGGGGGCCUGAGAGGGUAGUC